rnacentral:tRNA from 1 species
UGGUGUAUAGCCAAAUUGGUAAGGCCAUAGCUUUUGGCGCUACGAUUAAAGGUUCGAAUCCUUUUACACCAG